GGAGGGGUGCCGGAGUGGUCGAACGGGGCAGUCUCGAAAACUGUUGUGCCUUCUGGGUACCGUGGGUUCGAAUCCCACCCCCUCCGCCA
rnacentral:tRNA from 1 species